CUCCGUCUAUAAAUAACACGUGGAGUAAACAAAGUUGUAAAGCGAAAGAAAGCAGAAGAUGCCCUUCGAAUAAAGAUUUGAGGGAGUACCACCAGCCAUGCCAGGGGUACCACACUAUUCCGUCAUCAGUGACUGCGCUGUAGGGGCCUCUGUGGUAGAAUCCAUUCAGAUUGGCAGAGUGACAUCUAGAGGAAUACAGAUGCAGACCUGUUAAACCACCAGCCACCCUUGUCCUCCUGAGCACAACUGCGAUCAUAGCGGUCAUUAUCUCUGUCUCG